UGUGCCAUUUUGCUCUGGCUAAAGUAGCAGGCCCAUUAAUCUGGCUGAUCACCCUGAUACCCUCCCUAAUGUAUCUCCAUAAGUCAUUUUGGAUGCUAUUCAAGAAGCGAAUCUUGUGAUUGUGUUUCUGGGAUAAGUGUAAAACUAUAUUUUCCCUCAUGACAGAAAAUGGCAUUUAUGAAUUAAUAUAGCAUCUCCUUUUUGAUUUGUACUGUUAUGUCAAGUACAUGGAUCUAAAUGUAUAGUCUUAUCUCAAAAACAUAUGCCACAAAACCCAGUUACUGUGCUUGUUUGAAUAGGGUCCAGAAUUUGGCAUCAAGUGCCAUGAGUGUCUGUUUUGCAGAGUAUGCAACUCACUCACCCAGCCAAUGUAGACUAUUCUCCAGCCAUCAGACCUCUAUAGAGAAUGAGUAGGGGGACUGGGAGCACACAGUUGGAACUGACUACCAGGGAGGGUUUCUGAUGAUACAUGACCGAAAUGGGAGAAACCAUUGGGGAAUCAUUUGGGGGUGGAUGUGGGGGAGAAACAGUACGUCUGUACUAGAAACAGUCAUAUUUUGUAAGAUUGUAAAUGCUGCACCUGAGCUGGGAACAGCAGCUGUUGGGAUGCCAGAUCACAUCGUUCGCUGGUGUAAUAAGAUUUGUUUUGUCUCAAGGUGUUUUUCUGUCUGCAUUCCAUUCAGUCUGUGCUAAUCUUGUAUUUAAUGCUAGCGAUGUUAGUCACAUGAUUAAGGCCUCAUUGAAACUUCAAUUCGCUGACUGGAUCUAACAAAUAUAACGAUGACCUUCUCAGUUUGAAUAUCUAAUUUGUUACCAAUACAGUUUUGACUUGUUUUCAUGGGUUUUUUCUCGCCAUCCUCUCUCUGUCAACUGUAUGGACAUUGUGAUCGGCAAAAUCAUUCCUUUGUCAAUACUUUGGCCUGUGUGAUACAGAAGUCACAGUCGUGUUGGGAAUGAGUUCAAAGUCUGUGUAUUAAGUCUUGUUUUCCCUGUUGAAGACUAGUAGUGAGUGCUGUGUGGAUGCAGCAGGGCCGAGGCCCUCUGGUUGGUGGUGGGUAGCCUUGUUCGAUUGUUCUGACACUUAGGCUGUUCCUGUUUGCUCUUUUCAAAUAACAAUGUAAAUAAAAACAGUGAAACUUUGACCAA
ensembl:lncRNA